UUUUUUUUCCCACACGCUACUGGACACCCAAAAAAGUCGGGACUUUUUGGCUUUGCUGCAAACUAACACCCGGAUAAAUCAGAAAUAUUUUCAAAGAUGAUUUUUUUUUGUACGAUGAUAUUUUUAAGGAGCAGUGAAUUGGUGGGGAACAAAAUGAUAAUUUUUACAAUAUCAAACGACUUUUAUUAAGAUCCAAGAAAUUGAGAAUGGGAAUCAUAGUAGGACUGUGCUAUUUCUUGCUUUAAUAUAUUGGAAAACUAAAUACAGCUUGUAGUAAUAUUUAUAGGUUUGGCGGGGUUGUAUUAAAUUUUGCACGUUAGAUCAAUGUAAUGCUGGCUUGAAAUUUUUUCGUAAUGUCUUUGUUGGAUCCAAUGUCCCUUAAUAAUAGCAGAGCUGUGUAAUUUGAUUCUGUACAUCCACUCAUGUCACUCGUACGUGUUAGUGUCGGUCAUGUUUACUAGCUGUGACAGGCUGUACUGAAGACCAAUCGUCCUUUCUUUCUUUGUAUUCUGACAAGAGUAUAGUGUAUAAAUACUCUUUUCCAGUG